ensembl:lncRNA
UAUAUAUAUAUAUAUAUAAAGUGUUUUUCGAAAGCACUUGAGCAGCUAACGGUCACUGUGAUUUUGCCAAGUAGCUAAGACAUGUUCCUGAAUCAACAUCUUUGAUGAUGCUGGAUCAACAUUAUUGCCCAAAAAUAUAUAUUUAAACCCAAUCCCUACCCCUAAACCUAACCCUGCCCAUAAUCUGUUAAAAUCUGUGGGAAAUUAUAGCUGAUUAACAAGAGUAUAGAAGCACUAACCCUGACGGUAAUCAUAAAACUGAUAUUUCCUUAAAAGUUAUAUCCCAUUCUGAUUGGUUGAUUGGAAUGUUGUUCCAGGAACAUGUUGUAGCUACUUGGCACAGCAACUUUGCUUAUUAGUCUACCCUGACUCAUUUAUAGCCUCAUCUCACCUUUGUGUUUACUAACGUUUGAAAACUCUCUUGAAACAAAUAGUAAAAGAACAGAUGUUCUUAAGACCCCCGUCAACCUUUUGUUUUUACUUCCGACCUUUGGAGCGAAGAGUGGGCAAAACCGACCACGCGCACACACAAACACACUAUUCUCACUGUCAUUUACAUAGUUUUGUUGACGGCAGUUCAGCAGCGAAAAAGGACUGGCUGGAUUCUCCGAGACACUUCAGAGGGAAACCAUUUAAACUGAGAGGCGCGCGACCGUCAGCUUGUCUCGCGCAGAACACUUUCAGCACUGCACGCUUUCUUCCAGUGUGCGUCACAUCGUUGCGUCUCUGUCAGCCGCGGAUGAAUUAAAGGUCGACCCGAGUCUCCAAAGAAGAUUCAAGAACAAGGAUCAUAUUUUAACCAUAAUGCCAAAAAUGGUUUCAUCUGGGGAUUCAAAAGACGUGUCAAAGUCAUCACAGAGCAAUGGACAUCACACAUCACACAUAUUUCAUUGUUUUACGACCCUCGUAUGUUUCAUGUUGUCUGCGUCUUCGGUGGCAGUUUGUCUGUUUAUGAACGUCAAAACAUCUCAUCUUGAGCGUAAAAUGGAGAUUCUGGAGAUGGAGCGACUGUCUGUGAUGGAACCUGUGCACGCGACCCUGGAUGCGAACGCGACCCUUCGGGAUGCGAUAGAGAAACUUGUGCAAGAGAGACUCAAAGAGGGGGUGUCGAAAAUUCGCACAGCUCGAGAAGCAGCGCAAGAGUGCUCGUGUCCUCCAGGUCCUCCGGGAAAACGGGGAAGAAAAGGCAACCCUGGAAUUCCAGUAAGUACCCUGUUAUCUCUGAGGCUUUAAUUCAGAACAAAUGUGAGUUGGUUUGGAGGUGGGCAGAUACAGUAUGGCAUGCCAUGAUGGCUUUGCAACCUUGAUAUAGACUGCAAAAUAAGGUGAGAUAAGAUGGAAUGGAGGAUAUAUGUUCCAGGAGACAGUUUCUGAAUUGAUCACACUCCAUUUUUCACUGUCUGGCAUACAUCCUGACCGCCUGUAUCGUAAUAAUCAUGCAUGCCUUUUAAAAAAUCCAACAGCUGAUUCAAAUCUCUUCAUGCCUUCACAAAAAAUGCAUAGUAAACACUAGUACAUGCUGAAGAGUAUGUAUAAAAUCCUCCUUAUCAUAGCAAUAAUGAAGCAGCACAGCGGCUUUUAUUGCUGUGGUUGCAUCACAUUUCUCAACAUGAGCAGAAAGCCACAAUAAUAAAGGAGAAGAGUGUGUAAACAUGUCUGGUUGCCCCAAACACAUUCCAUUUUUAUGAGCUAUUUGUCACAUAAGCUGUGUUUAUGUAUUGCAAAUGGACUGUUGAAGACAAUGGCAACAAUACUAUAUGGAGCACUUUAAUAAUGUCCAUUCUUGUGUAUAUUUUGGGGGCUCGGAAUGUAAACAGACUUGUUUUUGUUUUGUUUUAAAUUCAGAUAUGAUGUUUUUUAUGUUUUUAAUUACACUGUUUCUUUUUCUUUAUUAAAUCCGAACAGGGCACUCCAGGACGAGAUGGCUACCCG